GCCGAGCUCAGUAGCGAGAGCUUGUAAUCCAAGUGGGGGCAUCAGAUGGUGUGGAUGUUCGGUACUCCACUAACAGGAAAUGCCCUAGCUA
rnacentral:SRP_RNA from 1 species